ACUAUCCUCUCAGUUCUGCUCAGCAAGAUGCUGAAUUUGCCUACACAGACUGGAUGGCAUGGAGGAAUCUACCUCUUGGAGAUCAUGGGGUAAAUUGGGAAUAAACAAGCCUCCUCUCUUGUUAAAGUUGUUGUGAGGAUGAAAUGAGACGACACAUAUGGAGUUUCUUCACCUAUGGGCAUAAUGGGACUAAUGACAGUGUUUACUGCAGAAGUUGUUACAUGUGUUAAGUGAGUUGACACA